CGGGGCGUGCUAGACUUCGUGCGACUGUGUCAAUUUUCAUGGCGGUGUUGACCGGCACACUACCCAGAAAGCCUUGUUCCACCGUGGGUUCGUAGAGGUUCAAAUCCUCUCGCCCCGACCA
rnacentral:tRNA from 2 species